GAUGAACGCUAGCUACAUGCUUAACACAUGCAAGUCGAGGGGCAGCGGGAUUGAAGCUUGCUUCAAUUGCCGGCGACCGGCGCACGGGUGAGUAACGCGUAUCCAACCUUCCGUACACUCAGGGAUAGCCUUUCGAAAGAAAGAUUAAUACCUGAUGGUAUGAUGAGAUUGCAUGAUAUCAUCAUUAAAGAUUUAUCGGUGUACGAUGGGGAUGCGUUCCAUUAGGUAGUAGGCGGGGUGACGGCCCACCUAGCCAACGAUGGAUAGGGGUUCUGAGAGGAAGGUCCCCCACAUUGGAACUGAGACACGGUCCAAACUCCUACGGGAGGCAGCAGUGAGGAAUAUUGGUCAAUGGACGAGAGUCUGAACCAGCCAAGUAGCGUGAAGGAUGAAGGUCCUACGGAUUGUAAACUUCUUUUAUAAGGGAAUAAACCCUCCCACGUGUGGGAGCUUGUAUGUACCUUAUGAAUAAGCAUCGGCUAACUCCGUG
rnacentral:rRNA from 1 species